rnacentral:rRNA from 1 species
GAUGAACGCUGGCGGCGUGCCUAAUACAUGCAAGUCGAACGAAGAUCUAGCUUGCUAGAUCUUAGUGGCGAACGGGUGAGUAAUACAUAAAUAAUCUGCCCAUAUGACUGGGAUAACUAUUGGAAACGAUAGCUAAUACCGGAUAGGUUGAUUGGAGGCAUCUCUGGUUAAUUAAAGUAGGAUUUCUACACAAAUGGAUGAGUUUAUGGCGCAUUAGUUAGUUGGUGGGGUAACGGCCUACCAAGACGAGUAUGCGUAGACGACCUGAGAGGGUGACCGGCCACACUGGGACUGAGACACGGCCCAGACUCCUACGGGAGGCAGCAGUGGGGAAUUUUGGACAAUGGGCGCAAGCCUGAUCCAGCCAUUCCGCGUGCAGGAGGAAGGCCCUCGUGUUGUAAACUGCUUUUGUACGGAACGAAAAGGCUCUGGUUAAUACCCGGAGCUCAUGACGGUACCGUAAGAAUAAGCACCGGCUAACUACGUGCCAGCCGCCGCGGUAAAAC